rnacentral:tRNA from 1 species
GCAUCUAUAGCCAAGAGGUCGAAGGCACCGGACUCAUAAUCCGUUUCUUACAAGAGACAACGCUGGUUCAAACCCAGCUGGAUGCA